rnacentral:rRNA from 1 species
CGAGGCUUCGUAGCAGUGCCCGUCUUAACUAGGCUGUAAGGAGAGCAGGCUGUUCCAAGUUAGUCUCAAAUAACAAUAAUUUAGACUAAUGUUCUUUGGCAACUUUGAGGAAGUGGACGAUAUUGGUUACGUUCAAAUGAGCAGUGUAAAUGCACUAAAUUAGAAGGACCACCGCGUGGCGAUUGCAAUAUCGAUGCUUUAUUAUUCCUUGACGCUGACUAUCGGAAAGUGUGGGAGCAAACUGGAUU